CUCCCCUGUGUGUGGAAAUUUCCUACCUUCGUUCGAGAAAGUUCUUGCCGGAAUUUCUCACGCAGAAAACGCUGUUGGAAUUCCAGUGAGAGAAAAAUGCCGCGCCCGACGGACAUUGCCGACACCACCUAUUCUCUUCUAGUUCUCAACGUCAACUUCCGCACGACGGCGGACGAUCUGUUUCCUCUGUUCGAGAAGUAUGGAAAGGUCAUCGAUGUCUUUAUUCCCAGAGAUCGGAGGACUGGUGAAUCACGUGGUUUUGCUUUUGUUCGUUUCAUGUACAAAGAUGAAGCGCAGAAAGCUGUGGAUAAGCUAGAUGGGAGAGUGGUUGAUGGAAGAGAAAUUGCUGUUCAAUUUGCAAAGUACGGUCCACAUGCAGAACGAAUCCACGACGGAAGGAUAGUUGAAAAGCUUCCACGACGCCGAGGUAGAUCAAGAAGUAGGAGCCCUCGGAGAAGGUCUCAAGAUGGUUACUAUGAAGAUAGAGAUUACAGGAGGAGAUACCGGAGCAGAAGUAUGCAUAGGGAUGAGCAUAAACGAGAUUAUUGGCAUAGGAGCAGGAGUUAUAGUGGAAGUCCAGAGUAUGAUAGAGGUCGUGGCAGGAGACGAUAUGAUGAUGAGCGACGAGGCAGGAGCAGAUCAUUUGACAGUGCCUCUCCGAAUAGGAAUUUGUCGCCUAGAAGGGCAUCAUCUCCUAGAAUUGGAAGUCCUGGGAGGCACAGUCAUAGGCGCUCAAUAACUCCUGGAAAUCUGUCCCCUCGCAACCGGGUUGUUGAUUCUCAAAGCCCUUUACAUCAAAACUGAGAAAAUCUGAGUAAUCUCCAAAGUUGCAAGAUAUAUCGCAAGAUGGAACAGGAUGGAAUUGCAUCUUCAGUAACCAUGUUGCUGAUUUUGUUGAACUUCAGUCUGAUGCAAGUUCUAUAUUGAACACUUAGUGAAAUUUGCUACGAUCGAGAAAGAAAUGACGGGCCUGGUGGCCAGAUGAUGUGGCUGUUGGUGCUGUUUGUAACUAGUAGAUGCAUGAUCGUCACUUUGAUGCUGAUUGUGGAUGUUGAGAAUUCUCUCAGAUAUAGUGUUCUUGGUAAGAAUUUCCCUUAAUGAAACCGUGUAGAACAUGUUGGUCAUAUUAAUGCAUACAGAACAUAAGGUUCUAGUUUGUCCUUUCCCUUUUAUCGUUCUUUAAAUUUUUGUUUUUGACUUUGUUAUACUCCAUGGAUUUUGGUUGUUUAGACUGGAAUGAAAGUGACUUAGUGGCUGGGAUCGUUGUUAGAUUGAUGGAUGUUGAAUCUGUACACAUACACAGUCGGCUAUUGUGGUCUGGACAUGAUAAUCAAUGACAUUCUUAAGUUAAGUAUACCUGACAUUAUCAUUUGAAAUUUUGUACUCUUUAAGAGUUGCUUCUAAUAUGACUCAAAGAUAUCAAUUUCUGUUGCGGUUCACCUUUUUAUUUUGAGUUAUAUAAAAGCUGUCACGUUGACAUCA